UAUCUUCUGACAAAGCCACUUUGC
rnacentral:siRNA from 1 species